rnacentral:rRNA from 1 species
GACGAACGCUGGCGGCGUGCUUAACACAUGCAAGUCGAACGGAAAGGCCCUGCUUUUGUGGGGUGCUCGAGUGGCGAACGGGUGAGUAACACGUGAGUAACCUGCCCUUGACUUUGGGAUAACUUCAGGAAACUGGGGCUAAUACCGGAUAGGAGCUCCUGCUGCAUGGUGGGGGUUGGAAAGUUUCGGCGGUUGGGGAUGGACUCGCGGCUCAUCAGCUUGUUGGUGGGGUAGUGGCUUACCAAGGCUUUGACGGGUAGCCGGCCUGGGAGGGUGACCGGCCACAUUGGGACUGGAAUGCGGCCCGGACUCCUACGGUAGGCAACAGUGGAGAAUAUUGCACAAUGGGCUGAGGCCUGAUGCAGCAACGCCGCGUGCGGGAUGACGGCCUUCGGGUUGUGAUCCGCUUUCGCCUGUGACGACGCGUGAAUGACGGUAAUGGGUAAAGAAGCACCGGCUAACUACGUG